CUGAUGCAGCCAUGCCGCGUGUGUGAAGAAGGCCUUCGGGUUGUAAAGCACUUUCAGUUGUGAGGAAAAGUUAGUAGUUAAUACCUGCUAGCCGUGACGUUAACAACAGAAGAAGCACCGGCUAACUCCGUGCCAGCAGCCGCGGUAAUACGGAGGGUGCGAGCGUUAAUCGGAAUUACUGGGCGUAAAGCGCACGCAGGCGGUUUGUUAAGCUAGAUGUGAAAGCCCCGGGCUCAACCUGGGAUGGUCAUUUAGAACUGGCAGACUAGAGUCUUGGAGAGGGGAGUGGAAUUCCAGGUGUAGCGGUGAAAUGCGUAGAUAUCUGGAGGAACAUCAGUGGCGAAGGCGACUCCCUGGCCAAAGACUGACGCUCAUGUGCGAAAGUGUGGGUAGCGAACAGGAUUAGAUACCCUGGUAGUCCACACCGUAAACGCUGUCUACUAGCUGUGUGUGUCUUUAAGACGUGCGUAGCGAAGCUAACGCGCUAAGUAGACCGCCUGGGGAGUACGGCCGCAAGGUUAAAACUCAAAUGAAAUUGACGGA
rnacentral:rRNA from 1 species